rnacentral:rRNA from 1 species
AACGAACGCUGGCGGCAGGCUUAACACAUGCAAGUCGAACGAGAUCUUCGGAUCUAGUGGCAGACGGGUGAGGAACACGUGGGAACAUUCCUUUCAGUUCGGAAUAACGUUGAGAAACUAACGCUAAUACCGGAUACGUCCUUCGGGAGAAAGAUUUAUCGCUGAAAGAUUGGCCCGCGUCUGAUUAGCUAGUUGGUGAGGUAAUGGCUCACCAAGGCUACGAUCAGUAGCUGAUCUGAGAGGAUGAUAAGCCACAUUGGGACUGAGACACGGCCCAAACUCCUACGGGAGGCAGCAGUGGGGAAUAUUGGACAAUGGGCGCAAGCCUGAUCCAGCCAUGCCGCGUGAGUGAUGACGGCCUUCGGGUUGUAAAGCUCUUUUGUCCGGGAAGAUAAUGACUGUACCGGAAGAAUAAGCCCCGGCAAACUUCGUGCCAGCCGCCGCCGUAA